rnacentral:lncRNA from 1 species
UAACACUGACUCUCAUGUUUCUGUGUCGUAUCAAACGCUGCCAAUCGGCUGCUUUUUGCAUCUUUAAACUUUUACCUCAUCCUUCCGCGAGGUUUAAUCCCCCAGCUUUAAAAACAACUGACUUUUGUGGAACUGCAGCUGUAUUCCCAGCGUGAUAUCAGAGGAGGAACCGCAUCCCAGAUCUUCAUCUCUGGAGCUGUGUCAGGACAAGCCGGGUCUGGACAAGCAUCAAACAGACAGGAACAAGUGUCCAGUUGGGUGCUCGUGUUGCUCCAUGCUUUGCGGUUGCGUACGGUUCAGGACAUCUGGAAGACCGCUCUCGUCUAUCCUCCUGUGGUCACCGCUGCUUUUAAUGGAACAAGCAACAGCACAGAAACUAAACUGGAAGCAGUAAAUUUAUUUAGGAACAGCAAACCUCCGCUCCGCUGCCUGUUUCUGCCACAAAAUCCUCCCCUGAGAGUCUGGACCCACGUACAGAACCAGGCCGUGCCCCGUCCGGUCGGAGCCGCGCUCGUGCUCAGCUGGAUGCUGCUCCUGUGGAUCUUGGCUUUAGGCGCGAAGAUCGAGGCUUCCCUGAACGCGAUGCGUGCGAGGGUCUGAGCCGCCUGACUUCUUCCCGUCAUCCGUUUGGCAGCUGUGAUGGACCCGAAACGUUGAACAACAGGCUCGGCGCUGGAGUUUGACGCUUGCUCAUCAGACGCGCCGGAGGACACACUGUACGUGCCGACGUUUGGAGCGUGCGUCUGCAGGACAGUGCAGCACAUGUGAGUCAUGGCCAAUGCAUUUAGGCACAAAUCCCCCGUUUUAAGUUUUACCCCGUCUCCUGUGCCAGUGAGUGCACAGUCUUUGAGAAUUAGACAACCUGGGCC